rnacentral:rRNA from 1 species
UACGUAGGGGCCGAGCGUUGUCCGGAGUUAUUGGGCGUAAAGCGCGCGCAGGCGGCCUCGCGCGCCCGACGUGAAAGCCCCCGGCUUAACCGGGGAGGGUCGUUGGGGACGGCGGGGCUUGAGGGCGGGAGAGGGUGGUGGAAUUCCCGGUGUAGUGGUGAAAUGCGUAGAGAUGUGGAGGAACACCAGUGGCGAAGGCGGCUUUCUGGUCUGUAACUGACGCUGAGGCGCGAAAGCGUGGGGAGCAAACAGG